rnacentral:tRNA from 1 species
GGUUCCAUGGUGUAAAGGCGAGCACACUGGGCUCUGAAUCCAGGGAUCCGAGUUCAAGUCUCGGUGGAACCU